UCUUUUUUUUUUUACUGUUAACAUUUACAUUGUGUAGUGCUACGUAGGACUCCAUUCUCUGUCAUCUCUUCAAAAGCUUAGCUGUUGUUUCCUCUUCUUCUACAAGAUUUAGUCGUUUCAAAUUGCCAACCUCUCUAUCUUCCUCAUAAUUAAUAUGGUUGUUCUUACGUUCCUGUUUUCAUCUAUUAUAAGUGAAAUGAACCUAAGGGUCAUUGCCAUAAUAUAUUUAAAUUCAAUUACUAUCUGUCUCUCACGUCUUCUCUUCAUCAACGUUAAACCCGUCAAUGACACUGUGCCCAAAAAAAGGAGAAAGAAAGAAGAUUGCUACUCAGGAAGAAAGAGAAAAAGAACUUCAAGGCUAAAUAAGACAUUCACAGAUACAAAAGGAGAAAACUUCAAAGGCCAGACCUAACUUGCUUUUAAUUGAAGCCUGCAAUUAACUCCAGUAAACAAAGCGUUGGAAAGACCCGUCUCAAGGAAAGAGGCAUUUUUACUGAUGAAUAUUUGUAUUGGGUUUGUAUUGCAACACUGCUGGUUUUUCUCUUUGUUUUAAUGUGUUUUCAUUACAUUGUAAUCAUAAGCAGAUAUUUUUCUUUUCUUA